rnacentral:rRNA from 1 species
AACGAACGCUGGCGGCAUGCCUAACACAUGCAAGUCGAACGAGACCUUCGGGUCUUGUGGCGCACGGGUGCGUAACGCGUGGGAACCUGCCCUUAGGUUCGGAAUAACUCCCCGAAAGGGGUGCUAAUACCGGAUAAUGUCUUCGGACCAAAGAUUUAUCGCCUUUGGAUGGGCCCGCGUUGGAUUAGCUCGUUGGUAGGGUAAAAGCCUACCAAGGCGACGAUCCAUAGCUGGUCUGAGAGGAUGAUCAGCCACACUGGGACUGAGACACGGCCCAGACUCCUACGGGAGGCAGCAGUGGGGAAUAUUGGACAAUGGGCGAAAGCCUGAUCCAGCAAUGCCGCGUGAGUGAUGAAGGCCUUAGGGUUGUAAAGCUCUUUUACCCGGGAUGAUAAUGACAGUACCGGGAGAAUAAGCCCCGGCUAACUCCGUG